GCCUCGGUGGCGGAACUGGUAGACGCGUCAGACUUAAAAUCUGAAGACCGCAAGGUCGUGUGGGUUCGAUUCCCUCCCGAGGCA
rnacentral:tRNA from 1 species